rnacentral:rRNA from 1 species
UACGAAGGGGGCUAGCGUUGUUCGGAAUCACUGGGCGUAAAGCGCACGUAGGCGGAUUGUUAAGUCAGGGGUGAAAUCCUGGAGCUCAACUCCAGAACUGCCUUUGAUACUGGCGAUCUCGAGUCCGGGAGAGGUGAGUGGAACUGCGAGUGUAGAGGUGAAAUUCGUAGAUAUUCGCAAGAACACCAGUGGCGAAGGCGGCUCACUGGCCCGGUACUGACGCUGAGCCGCGAAAGCCAGGGGAGCGAACGGG